UCCGACUUCAAACGGUGUCGUUCUAUACACUACAUAUAAACUGCUUCAAAAUGUAAUUGGAAACCCUACUUCAUUUCCAGAAACAGCAGCCGCAAGGACUGCCUCAACCUCUCCUCUGUUCUUCAUGCCGAAACUCUCCUUUUUCAACUUUGAUUUAGACGAAGUGAACCAAGAGGUCGACGUCGUGCCUACGUUGGUAAGGAUUUCCUUUCUCCCUUUUAUUUUUUUUUUGUUUGGUGUACAAAAGAAACAAAGAAUCAAAGAAAUCAAAAAGAAAAGAGAAAAAAUGACGGAGAAAAUCACCUUAAAAAAACUCUUUGCUUCGAUUUACCGUUCGCAUUCAAUAUCCCAAAAAAAACCCCCUCUUAGAUUUUACAAAUCGGCUUUCUAUAGUCGAAUCUAGGAUUACAAAAUAAUAUUUCUCUAUUUUCCCUAUUCUCGUGUAUUCUGUUACUGCUGAUUUGUUGUGCUUGCAGUUACAGCUAGCUGGAGCAAUUGACGCAGGCGCACACGCGCGGAGGCACAACACGCGUGAAGAACCCCUGGUUUCAGCCACAGUGUAAAUGAUUCCAGAAACCCUAGGAGUUUCUGGAAACCCGAAUUUAGGCCUCCAACAUUGGGCUAGGAUAGGCUGAUUUGGAUUUUAGGUUUAGUGGGCUGUUUUUGGGUUUUGGGUUUAUUCGGGUUUGGGCUUAGUUAGUUGGGUUUUGUAAUCGGGUUUGGGAAAUGUAUUUUGGGUUUGGGUAAAUUAAUUGGGCCUGUUGUUGUAAUACAAACUGGACAUUUAUUUUUUUUAUUUUGUUUUAAAAUUGAGUAUUACAAUACUUAUUUAAAAAGAUGGUUGCAGUUUAAUUUAUUUGAUUUAUAUGCAUGUUGUUAAUUUUAGGUGACAAAUAGGUUAACGAAAAUUCCAAAAAAAAGUGGGCUAAGAACUAACCACUCACUUUACACUAACAAUUUAGUUAGAGGUUAUCUAAGAUUAGUUCCAAGUAACAAUGCCUAGUUGAUGACCAUGAUAGCCAAGUACAAAGAUGGUAACUAUAGUAUACCACAAAAAGGCAUGUUAGUGGCACUUGUGCUUUUGAAGCACUUGGCUUAAAUUUGGGAUGCAUUCUUGUCAGUCAUUUUCUAUUAAGAUUAACCCAUCAUAGGCUAUUAAAUACCUUUAAUUGAAGGUGACCCUUAACUACUAUUUUUGAAUUGAGGCUGAAUAAUUAAAAUUUAUUAAAAUUUAGCUCAAAGGUG
rnacentral:lncRNA from 1 species